rnacentral:rRNA from 1 species
UACAGAGGGUGCAAGCGUUAAUCGGAAUUACUGGGCGUAAAGCGUGCGUAGACGGUUAUGUAAGUCAGGUGUGAAAGCCCCGGGCUCAACCUGGGAAUGCCAUUUGAGACUGCAUAGCUAGGGUACGGAAGAGGGAAGCGGAAUUUCAGGUGUAGCGGUGAAAUGCGUAGAUAUCAGGAGGAACACCAGCGGCGAAGGCGGGUCUCUGGACAGUUCCUGACGCUGAGGCACGAAGGUCAGGGGAGCAAACGGG